rnacentral:rRNA from 1 species
UACGUAGGGUGCAAGCGUUGUCCGGAAUUAUUGGGCGUAAAGAGCUCGUAGGCGGUCUGUUACGUCGGCUGUGAAAACCUGGGGCUCAACCCCGGGCCUGCAGCCGAUACGGGCAGACUAGAGUUCGGCAGGGGAGACUGGAAUUCCUGGUGUAGCGGUGAAAUGCGCAGAUAUCAGGAGGAACACCGGUGGCGAAGGCGGGUCUCUGGGCCGAUACUGACGCUGAGGAGCGAAAGCGUGGGGAGCGAACAGG